rnacentral:rRNA from 1 species
AGUAACGCGUGGGUAACCUGCCUCAUACAGGGGGAUAGCAUCGGGAAACUGGUGGUAAAACCGCAUAAGCGCACGAAGACGCAUGUAUUCGUGUGAAAAGGAGAAAUCUGGUAUGAGAUGGACCCGCGUCUGAUUAGCUAGUUGGAGUGGUAAAAGCACACCAAGGCGACGAUCAGUAGCCGGCCUGAGAGGGUGGACGGCCACAUUGGGACUGAGACACGGCCCAGACUCCUACGGAAGGCAGCAG